AGCCGGUGCUUCUUCUGCGGGUAACGUCAAUUGCUGCGGUUAUUAACCACAACACCUUCCUCCCCGCUGAAAGUACUUUACAACCCGAAGGCCUUCUUCAUACACGCGGCAUGGCUGCAUCAGGCUUGCGCCCAUUGUGCAAUAUUCCCCACUGCUGCCUCCCGUAG
rnacentral:rRNA from 1 species